rnacentral:rRNA from 1 species
UACGUAGGGUGCGAGCGUUGUCCGGAAUUACUGGGCGUAAAGAGCUCGUAGGUGGUUUGUCGCGUUGUUCGUGAAAACUCACAGCUUAACUGUGGGCGUGCGGGCGAUACGGGCAGACUGGAGUACUGCAGGGGAGACUGGAAUUCCUGGUGUAGCGGUGGAAUGCGCAGAUAUCAGGAGGAACACCGAGUCGCGAAGGCGGGUCUCUGGGCCGGAUAUCGACGCUGAGGCACGAAAGCGUGGGGAGCAACGG